UGGGGAAUUUUCCGCAAUGGGCGAAAGCCUGACGGAGCAAUACCGCGUGCGGGAGGAAGGCCUUUGGGUCGUAAACCGCUUUUAACAGGGAAGAAGUUCUGACGGUACCUGUUGAAUAAGCCUCGGCUAACUCCGUGCCAGCAGCCGCGGUAAGACGGAGGAGGCAAGCGUUAUCCGGAAUUAUUGGGCGUAAAGCGUCCGCAGGUGGCCUUUCAAGUCUGCUGUUAAAGCCCAGGGCUCAACUCUGGAUCAGCAAUGGAAACUGAAAGGCUAGAGUACGGUAGGGGUAGAGGGAAUUCCCAGUGUAGCGGCGAAAUGCGUAGAUAUUGGGAAGAACACCAGUGGCGAAGGCGCUCUGCUGGGCCGUAACUGACACUCAUGGACGAAAGCUA
rnacentral:rRNA from 1 species